rnacentral:rRNA from 1 species
UGCAAGUCGAGGGGCAGCAUGAACUUAGCUUGCUAAGUUUGAUGGCGACCGGCGCACGGGUGAGUAACACGUAUCCAACCUGCCGAUGACUCGGGGAUAGCCUUUCGAAAGAAAGAUUAAUACCCGAUGGCAUAGUUCCUCCGCAUGGUAGAACUAUUAAAGAAUUUCGGUCAUCGAUGGGGAUGCGUUCCAUUAGGUUGUUGGCGGGGUAACGGCCCACCAAGCCUUCGAUGGAUAGGGGUUCUGAGAGGAAGGUCCCCCACAUUGGAACUGAGACACGGUCCAAACUCCUACGGGAGGCAGCAGUGAGGAAUAUUGGUCAAUGGACGAGAGUCUGAACCAGCCAAGUAGCGUGAAGGAUGACUGCCCUAUGGGUUGUAAACUUCUUUUAUACGGGAAUAAAGUGAGGCACGUGUGCCUUUUUGUAUGUACCGUAUGAAUAAGGAUCGGCUAACUCCGUGCCAGCAGCCGCGGUAAUACGGAGGAUCCGAGCGUUAUCCGGAUUUAUUGGGUUUAAAGGGAGCGUAGGCGGACGCUUAAGUCAGUUGUGAAAGUUUGCGGCUCAACCGUAAAAUUGCAGUUGAUACUGGGUGUCUUGAGUACAGUAGAGGCAGGCGGAAUUCGUGGUGUAGCGGUGAAAUGCUUAGAUAUCACGAAGAACUCCGAUUGCGAAGGCAGCUUGCUGGACUGUAACUGACGCUGAUGCUC